AACGAACGCUGGCGGCAUGCCUAACACAUGCAAGUCGAACGAGACCUUCGAGUCUAGUGGCGCACGGGUGCGUAACGCGUGGGAACCUGCCUUUAGGUUCGGAAUAACUCAGAGAAAUUUGAGCUAAUACCGGAUGAUGUCUUCGGACCAAAGAUUUAUCGCCUUUAGAUGGGCCCGCGUUGGAUUAGCUAGUUGGUGGGGUAAAGGCCUACCAAGGCGACGAUCCAUAGCUGGUCUGAGAGGAUGAUCAGCCACACUGGGACUGAGACACGGCCCAGACUCCUACGGGAGGCAGCAGUGGGGAAUAUUGGACAAUGGGCGAAAGCCUGAUCCAGCAAUGCCGCGUGAGUGAUGAAGGCCUUAGGGUUGUAAAGCUCUUUUACCCGAGAUGAUAAUGACAGUAUCGGGAGAAUAAGCUCCGGCUAACUCCGUG
rnacentral:rRNA from 1 species